UUUUAAGGGUCCUGAAGGAACGUUGAAGACGACGACGUUGAUAGGCCGGGUGUGUAAGCGCAGCGAUGCGUUGAGCUAACCGGUACUAAUGAACCGUGAGGCUUAACCUU
rnacentral:rRNA from 1 species